rnacentral:sRNA from 1 species
AUGCGAAAGCGAGGAUCCACGUGUCAUUUUCGAGAAUACGCGGCGAGAAAUGAGCUUCCUCAAAGUGCUCAUUAUCAACUACGAUACCACUUUUAUUCAGAAUGUAUCCUAAAUUGUUUAUCGGGUUUUGGAGAAUUUUGGUGCUGAAAAUUGGCAUUUUCAAGUUUUUGAAUUCAGAAAAUUCUUGAAAAAGCGUGAAAAUAACGCAAUUUGAAACUGCAAAAAAUUGUUUCGAAUCGGCUGAAAAUUCGAAUUUUGGACUUAAAAAAUUUGAAUUUUGGACUAAAAAAAUUCGAAUUGUGGACUAAAAAAUUCGAAUUUUGGACUGAAAAAUUCGAAUUUUGGACUGAAAAAACUCGAAUUUUGGACUGAAAAUAUUCGAAUUUUGGACUUAAAAAUUCGAAUUUUGGACUAAAAAUAUUCGAAUUUUGGACUAAAAAAUUUGAAUUUUGGACUUAAAAAAUUUGAAUUUUGGACUAAAAAAAUUCGAAUUGUGGACUAAAAAAUUCGAAUUUUGGACUGAAAGUUCGAAUUUUGGACUGAAAAAUUCAAAUUUUGGACUAAAAAAUUCGAAUUUUGGACUAAAAAUUCGAAUUUUGAACUGAAAAAAUUCGAAUUUUGGACUAAAAAAAUUCGAAUUUUGGACUAAAAGUUCAGCAUUUUUGGUAUUAAAUCUAAAAUUACACAAGUUUAUCAAUUAAAAAAAAAGAAUUUUUUAACUUAAAAAUCGCGCCGAAAAACAUGAAAAUUUCCCUUUUUUUGCACCAAAAUUCCACCAAAAUCCAAAAUUUCCCCCCACCAUUUUUCUGCAAUUUUUUUUAUUUCCUUGAUUAUUUUUCCAUUUUUUAACAAAAAAAAAAUUACCUUCCAUUCGAUCUCACACUAUCUCCCCAAUAUUUUUUUCUGGAUGAAGGAGAUUUCCCGUUUCUCCCGAGCUACUAGUCAUUGAUUUUUCCCCAUUUUUUUUGCCCACAAAAAUCCCCCAUUUUCACUGCAUAAUACUAUUUAUAUAGCCUAAUUCUUCCCAGAAAAAAAUUCACAAAUCAAAUUCAGUUUUUUUUUAAAUUUUUUAAAUUUUAUCCCCAAUUUUUAUCGAAAAUUCGCUUAUCACCUCUUCUGUCCGAAAUUUGCCUUUUUUUUUAAUUUUAAUUAUUUUUCUUUUUAAGUUCAGAAAAAAAAACCGAAAAAAAAUGUAUAAAAAUCAAUAAUAAAUUUGAUAAAAUUAAAAAUUUUUUUAAUUUUUUAAAAAAUUGUUAUUCUGUUGUAAUCUCUGAAUUUUCCUAUUUUUAUUACCAAUUUUUAACUGAGUUUUUCAGAUUUUUGCCAAUUUUAAGGUUACAAAAAAUAUGGAUAUCGAAGAUAUCGUUGGACGAGGACCAGUUGGGAGCAGAGAUGCAAAUGAGAUUAAAAUUCGGUAAAAAUUUGAGAUUUUGUAUCAAAAAAUUGCGAAAAAUUAUAGUUUUUCUGAAAAAAAACCAAGAAAUUUGGGAAAACAUAAUUUUUAAAGUUAUAAAAAUAACUUACCUAUUCGAAAAUUCUCGAAAAUGAUUUUACCUUAUUUUUCUAAAUUUUCUAAAUUUUAAGCUUAAGUUUGUAUAACUUCCCAAAAAAAUUUUUUAAAAAUUUUUUGGUGAAAGCUGUGUUCUCACCUCUUUUUGACUAUAACAUUUUUUUAAAAAUCCAAGUUUUUUCGAAAAAUUGCAGGACAUUUAAAUUUUGGCAGUUUGCCAAUUUGCCAGAAUUUUCAAUUCCAGAAAUUUGCCCAUUUGCCGGAAAUUUUCAAUUCCGACAAUUGGCCUUUUUUUCCGAAAAUUUAAAUUCCGGCAAUUGGCCGAUUUGCCCGAAAUUUUCUAUUCCGGCAAUUUGCCGAUUUGCUGGAAAUUUCAAUUCCGGCAAAUUGUCGUUUUUCCGGAAAUUUCAAUUCCGACAAUUUGCCGGAAAUUUUAAAUUCCGGCGAUUUGCCGAUUUGCCGGAAAUUUUAAAUUCCGACAAUUUGCCGUUUUUCCGAAAAUUUAAAUUCCGGCAAAUUGUCGUUUUUCCGGAAAUUUAAAUUCCGGCAAUUUGCCGAUUUGCCGGAAUAUUCAAUUCCGAUAAUUUGCCGGAAAUUUUAAAUUCCGGGAAUUUGCCGAUUUGCUGGAAAUUUUCUAUUCCGGCCAUUUGCUGAGUUGCCAUAAAUUUCAAUUCCGGCAAUUUGCCGAUUUGUCCGAAAUUUUCUAUUCCGGCAAAUUGUCGUUUUUCCGGAAAUUUCAAUUCCGAUAAUUUGCCAAUUUGCCGGAAAUUUUAAAUUCCGGCAAUUUGCCGAUUUGCCCGAAAUUUUCAAUUCCGGCAAAUUGCCGAUUUGCCCGAAAUUUUCAAUUCCGGCAAUUUGCUGACUUGCCAUAAAUUUCAAUUCCGGCAAUUUGCCGAUUUGCCCGAAAUUUUCUAUUCCGGCAAAUUGCAGUUUUUCCGGAAAUUUUAAUUCCGGUAAUUUGAUGAUUUGCCGGAAAUUUCAAUUCCGGCAGUUUGCCGAUAUGCCGGAAAUUUUCAAUUCCGGCAGUUUGUCGAUUUGCCGAUUUGCCGGAAAUUUUAAAUUCCGGUAUUUUGCCGAUUUGCCGGAAUAUUAAAUUCUGGCAAUUUGCCGUUUUUCCGGAAAUUUUAAACUCCGGUAUUUUGCCGAUUUGCCGGAAAAUAUAUAAUUCAUUUGCAGAACCCGUAAACAAGUGCCAAAAGAGCAACAACCAGACGAUGCAAACGUUGAUUCAAUGGUUCCGGGUGUCGGACAAAAAGUAUGGGUCCGUACGUGGGGAUGUUCUCAUAAUACUUCAGAUUCUGAAUAUAUGAGUGGUCUACUUCAACAAGCCGGAUAUGAUGUUGUUAAAGGUUUCUCUAUUAUAUUUGGAAUUUACUUAAAUGUAACAUUUAAAAAACUGUUCUUAAAAAACCGAAAAAAAAUUUUCAACUAGAAAAAUAUUUUUCUGAAAAAAAGUUCUUUAUUUUGCCCAAAAAUCAAUAACUUUUCAUAAAAAGUAUUUUCGAAAAAAGAAAUGUUUUUAAAGAACGAAAAGAAUUUCCCAAUAAAAAAAAAAUUUAAAAAAAAAACAUUUUCAUUCUGAAUUUUUUCCUUUUUUUUUUCCGAAAAACUGAAAAACAAAAAAAAAAUUAAAAAUACUGAAUAAAAAUUAAUUUCUUGGAAUUUUUUCGAGUUUUAACGAAAAAAAAAGCUGAAAAACGCAAAAAUUUCGAAAUUUCAACCGAAACCGAAAUCUGGGAAAUAUUUUAAAAUGACUCCCUGAUUCCGAAUAUCGAUGUGAAAAAAUUCAAAAAAAUUUCCCUGAUUUUAUAUUUCAGCUUGAAAUCACCGAAUUUCAUUUGUGCCACCCCGUCUAUUUUUUCAAAUGCGCGCCCAAAAAAAAUUUGCGUUGGAGCGCGCUUGCAUCGUUUGAUGUUCUUCAUUUAAAUAUUUUAUUUAUUUUUCGCCGAAUUCAGCUUUUUUUUACCAGUUUCUUUCAUUUUUGUCGAAAAAAAAUUUUUUAGAAAAAUAUUCGACAAAAAUGAAUGAAAAAAAAAAGUUGAAUUCGGCGAAAAAUAAAUAAAAUAUUUAAAUGAAGAAAAUGAAACGAUGCAAGCGCGCUCCAAUGCGAAUUUUUUUGGGCGCGCAUUUGAAAAAAGUGAUGCGGGGGCACAAAUGAAAUUCGGCGAUUUCAAGCUGAAAUAUAAAAUCAGGGAAAUUUUUUUGAAUUUUUUCACAUAGAUAUUCGAAAUCAGGGAGUCAUUUUCGGUUGAAAUUUCGAAAUUUUUGCGUUUUUCAGCUUUUUUUUUCGUUAAAACUCGAAAAAAUUCCAAAAAAUUAAUUUUUAUUCAGUUUAAAAAUUUUUUGCGGGAUAAUGCAUCAGCUAUUUUUAAUUUUUUUUUGUUUUUCAGUUUUUCGGAAAAAAAAAGAAAAAAAUUCAAAAUGAAAAUGUUUUUUUUUUGAAAUUUUUUUUUUAUAUGGCUGCAAUACUAUUUUUCGAUGGCCUUCCCGCUUGCAAUACUAAUAGGGAGGCCAUAUUAAUAGAAGAAAUACAGUAACUGAAAAACAAAAAAAAUUAAUUUUUUAACUGAAUAAAAAUUUAUUUUUAGGAUUUUUUUUUUGAGUUUUAACGAAAAAAAAAGGUGAAAAACGCAAAAAUGCCGAAAUUUCAAAAAUUGAAGUACCGAAAUUUGGGAAAUAUUAUUAAUUUACUCCAAAUUUUCCCCUGAUUCCGAAUAUCUAAGUGAAAAAAAAAUUAAAAUUCAAAAAAAAUCCCCUGAUUUUAUAUUUAAGCUUAAAAUCGCUUGUACACCCAUGAGAUUUCGAAUUUUCGCGCCAAAGAUGCCAUGUGUGUGUCGAUUUACGAAAUUUUAAAUCUUUAUCGGAUGCUGAUUUCCGAUAAAGAUUUAAAAUUUCGUAAAUCGACACACACAUGGCAUCUUUGGCGCGAAAAUUCGAAAUCUCAUGGGUGUACAAGCGAUUUUAAGCUUAAAUAUAAAAUCAGGGGAUUUUUUUUGAAUUUUAAUUUUUUUUUCACUUAGAUAUUCGGAAUCGGGAAAAUUUGGAGUAAAUUAAUAAUAUUUCCCAAAUUUCGGUACUUCAAUUUUUGAAAUUUCGGCAUUUUUGCGUUUUUCACCUUUUUUUUUCGUUAAAACUCAAAAAAAAAAUCCUAAAAAUAAAUUUUUAUUCAGUUAAAAAAUUAAUUUUUUUUGUUUUUCAGUUACUGUAUUUCUUCUAUUAAUAUGGCCUCCCUAUUAGUAUUGCAAGCGGGAAGGCCAUCGAAAAAUAGUAUUGCAGCCAUAUUAAUAGAAGAAAUACGGUAUAUUGGGCAAAAUUUUAAGAAACGGUUUUAUUUUUGAGAAACAUCGAUUUUUUAGUUGGGAAAUUUUUUUAAUUGAGUCCAAAUGCUCCCCUGAUUUCGAAUAUCUAUGCGAAAAAAUUCAAAAAAUUUUCCCAGAUUUUAUAUUUCAGCUUGAAAUCACCGAAUUUCAUUUGUGCACCCCCCCCCCCCCCUAAUUCUCAUUGGAGCGCGCUUGCAUCGUGUCCAGGGCUGUUGCAAAAAAAAUUUUCGACCAAAAAACAAAAAAAAUUCAAUGUUUGAUAUGAAACGGGACAAAACCGAAAAUUUUCAUGAAAUAUUCUGUUGAUUCUUCAUAAAAUAUUAAAAAUUGAACAAACGGAAGGUUUUUUGUUCUUAUUUGUUUAAUUUUGGCUGAAUCAAUGUUGUAAUUUAUUUUUUGUUUUUUUGGUCUCAAAAAACCAAAAAAACAGCCCUAAUCGUGUCGAUUUGCGGGAGCUCUCCAUUUAUUCAAUUUCUUUCGUGCUGCUUUUUUUUUAGUUUUCAGCGUGUUUCUUUCAUUUAUGUCGGUUUUUUUUAACAACAAAUAUUUUUUUAAUAUGAUUUAAUUUAUUAUGAUUUUUAGUCGUUUAGACAAAUAAUAUGCACAACAGGCAAAAAAUAAUAGAAAAAUAAAAAAAAAACCGACAAAAACCGACGUAAAUGAAAGAAACACGCUGUAAACUAAAAAAAAAAAGCAAAACGAACGAAAUUGAGAAAAAGAAAAACAUUUUCUUAUCGAAUUUUGAGAGCAGCAGUUUUUCAGUUUUCCAUCGCUUUUUCGUAUUUUUUUUUCUAAUUUCUAUGCUUUAUUAUAUGUAAAUCGACACAAAAGCUACGGUAGCAUUUAGCAAAUUCUUACUGUAGUUUUCGCUAAGAGAUAUCGCGCGUCAAAUAAAAUGCUCCACGACGUACGCAUUCUCAUGAUUUAUUGUUCCCGUAAUAUAAAAUCAGGGAAAUUUUGCUAACCAUCUGUUUUUGACCAAAACACCAAAAAAUCAGUAAUUACAACAAAAAAAAAUUUAAGUUAAGCCAGAAAAAAUAUGGAAAAUUGAUAUUCUUAGAAAAAUAACUUUAAAAAAAAACCAUAUUUUUUUAGUUUUUUAGUUACGGGAAAACUCAGAUUCUUUGAAGAAAAAUUCGUAAAAAAUAAAAAAAAAAUUAAUUUCCCACAAUAUUGAAAAUUGAUUUUUUGAGCUUCAAUUAAAAAUUUAGAAGUUUAUAAAGUUAGUGAAAAAAUUGAAAAUUCCUGUUUUUUACAACUCUGCUUUUUUCCUUAAAAUUUAAACUUUUUAGGACAAAAACCUUAAAAUAUGGAGGUUCAUAUUACAGCACCACAAAACUCAGAAUGCGUAUUGCACAACAUAUUUGACGCGCAAAAUUAUUAAUAUCUCGUAGCGAAAACUACAGUAUUUUUUUGAAUGACUACUGUGUAGAUUUACGGAAUUUCGAUUUUUUUUCCAAUUUUUGUAAUAUUUUUCGUCAUUUUUGUGUUUUUAAAUAAUAAUUUAUUGAUUAAUAAAAGAUAUUCGUAAAUCGACUGUAUAUAUUUUAUUAAUCAAUAAAUUAUUAUUUAAAAACACAAAAAUGGCGAAAAAAAAUUACGAAAAUUGAGAAAAAAAAUCGAAAUUCCGUAAAUCGACACAGUAGACAUUUAUUUGACUCUAAAUGUCUACUGUGUAGAUUUACGAAAACUACAAUAACCCUCUAAAUUUUAGAGGAUUACUGUAGUUUUCGCUACGAGAUAUUUUGCGCGCGUCAAAUAUGUUGUGUAAUACGCAUUCUCAAAAUUUUUUGGUCCCGUAAUACGGGAUUUUUGUUGAAAAAACUUCCUCAAACUUCCACUUUAGCUGAAAAUUAAAUUUUUCGAUAGGAAAAUUUAUGAUUUUUUAAUUUUUUAAACAGCUAAAAAUUAGAGAAAAAAAAUUAUUUAGAAAAUCAGAAAUUUUUGAAUUAAAUUAAUUUUUUUUACAGACGAGGCUGGGAACUUCUAGCAAUAGUGCUUGCAUUCAUUUUCCCAACAGAAGCGAUCAACGAGAAGCUUAACGAGUUCCUAAACAAGCAUUUGGAUCCAAUAUUCGAUCUUCCAGAAGUCUCAACUUCAUAUUUCUCCCAACAAUGUAUAAAACGGCUGAGCAAAGUGAUUGCUCGACUCAAACCGAGUCUUUCCACAAUUCAAGAGACUAAAAUUCAUAUAUUCCGGCCGCCGCUCUUCUCGGCUUCACUCGAAGAGCUCAUGCAAAUGCAAUCUGAAAAAUUCCCCGAGUUGAAGCUUCCGUGGCUUUUGACUACUCUUAUUGAGCUCCUUUAUCAAUCUGGGGGCCGGAGGACUGAAGGGCUGUUUCGGUACGGGUUUUUGAGUGGAAAAAUUGAGACAAAUUCUAUUUUUCAGCCGAAGUUAUCAGGAAAAAAAGCAAAAAAAUUGAAAAAAAAAGAGAAAAAUGUUUUUUUUUUCAAGUAAAAAAUAUAAAAUUUAGAAAAUUACUUUUAAAAAAAAUUCCAAAAAAGUUGAAAUCAAAUAUUUAUUGACACAUUUUUUUGAAGCAUUCUCUGGAAAAUUCUGAAAAAGCAAUUUUUAAAAUUUAAUAUAUAAUUUUCAAUGUUUUUGUUAAUUUUUUCUAAUAAAAAAAACAAGAAAAACCAAUAAAUUCUUAAAUUUUUUGGAAAAUUGAGAUUUUUUUGACAAAGUGUACGGUUUUCCACAAAAAAUUCGAUUUAAAAAAAAAAUUUUGCUACUGAAAGUCAACAUUAAUUUUUUGUUAAAUGAAAAAUGUUCAGCUUUCAACAAAAAUUAGCAUAAAUAAGAAAAAAUAGGCUUAGUGAUAAGCUUACGCUUAGGCUGAAGCUUAGGCUUGUGCAUAGACUCAGGCUUAAGCUAAGUCUUAGUCUUAGACUUAGGUUUAAGCUAAGUCUUAGUCUUAGACUUAGGUUUAGGCAUUGGCUUGGACUUAGGCUUCGGCUUAGGCCUAUGCAGAGCUGAGGGGGGUUGGAGAAAAAAAAAAGAGAACUUCCCAAUAAUUCCUAAAAAUCCAAAAAAAAUUCGAAUUUCGGAUUUUUUAAUUAAAAAAUAUUUAACCAAAUUCCCAAGGAAAAACCAGUAAAUUUUGAAAUUUUGGAAAAUUAAAUUUUUUUAAAAGUACCGUUUUCCGCAAUAAUUACGAUCAAGGCUGUCAGUUUUUUCGAUUUUUUCAGAAAAUCGAAAAACGAACAUUUUUCGAUUUUUCAAAAAUUAGCUCAAUAUUUUGGCCAUUAUUCUUCUUUUUAGAAGAAAUUUAAAUGUUUUUCUUAUCAAUAAAAACAAAAUUAUGAUAGAUAAAAAAUCAUAUUUUAUGGUUAAAGGUGGACUACGCUCAGUGGAGAAAUUGCUUUAAAACACGUCUAUGGGGCCACAAUGACCGAAUAUCAUGAUAAAAAAAAUUCAAAAAAAUUUUUUAGAUUUUAUAUGAUUUUUUGAAAAUUGGAAAAAUCUCAGUUUUCACCUAAUUAUUUUUGAAUUUCCGCCAAUUGGAUUUGUUCGGUGGAGCGCGCUUGCAUUAUUUUUUAUUAAUUAAUUUUAUUUAUUCUCGUUAUUUGACUGAUUUUCUUCAUUUUCUAUGUUUUUUCCUCGGAAAAUGGAAGAAAUAAACAAGACAAAUAUGCAAAACGUUUGUUAAAAAGUAAUUGAAAAUGAGUAAAAAACUGUGAAAUAUACUAAUUUCAGGCUUGUUGUCGUCGGAACUCAGAAUAUCUGAUUUUUACUCAUUUUCAAUUACUUUUUAACAAACGUUUUGCAUUUGUCUUGUUUAUUUCUUCCAUUUUCCGAGGAAAAACCAUAGAAAAUGAAAAAAAACUCAGUCAAAUAACGAGAAUAAAUAAAAUUAAUUAAUUAAAAUAAUGCAAGCGCGCUCCACCGAACAAAUCCAAUUGGCGGAAAUUCAAAAAUAAUUAGGUGAAAACUGAGAUUUUUCCAAUUUUCAAAAAAUCAUAUAAAAUCUAAAAAAUUUUUUUGAAUUUUUUUAAUCAUAAUAUUCGGUCAUUGUGGCCCCAUAGACGUGUUUUAAAGCAAUUUCUCCACUGAGCGUAGUCCACCUUUAAUUUUCUGAACUUUUUCUUUUUUCGAUUUUUCGAUUUUAACCGAAAAACAUUGAAAAAUGACACCCUUGAUUACGAUAUUUAAAAAUUUUGCGACCUGAAAAAAAAAAUUCGAAUUCGCCCCUAAUUCCACAAUAAGAAUUUCAGAGUUGCCGGGGAUCCAGAACAACUUGCAACAGCUCGAGGACAACUGGACGGUUGGCUCGCCCCAAAAAUGCACGACGCAAAUGUGCCGGCGGGACUUUUAAAACUAUGGCUCCGCCAGCUUCCCGUUCCAUUAAUUCUUCCGACUCUCUAUCAAAGAGCGCUGGUCGCUGCAGAAAAUCCUGCUGAAGCAAUACGAUUAGUCGAUUUAUUACCAGAAAUUAAUCGAUUAGUACUUGUGCGAGUAAUUGCAUUACUACAGGAUUUAAGUCGAGAAGAAGUUGUUGCAAAAACUAAAAUGGAUACUUCUAAUUUGGCAAUGGUUAUUGCUCCGAAUAUUUUGAGGUG